CCGUGCAUAUGCUCCGGGAUUUGCCCUGGUUCACUUGCACCUCCCCUCCCUUGCCGGUCUCGGCGCUCCUCCGCACCCUCUUCCUGGCCAACAAUAGCUUCUCUUUUCUUCUCCGGUCUCAACUCCCUCGCCAACGUCUACCUCGACACCAACCCCUUGUCCGCCCGAACCAUCCCUCCGCGACGCCUCCGGCCUCGUCGCCUUCUCCGCUAACGACGUCAAUCUCACUGACACCAUCCCCAAACUUCCACGGCGUCAACUUCCCCAAUUUUUUCCCAUCCGAACCUCUCCGGCAUCAAUCUCCCAGGCCCGAUCCCCUCGACCUUCGCCGUCUGGCUCAAUAACCGGAAGGGAAGCGGCUUCUCGGGCCGCAUCGAGAACCUCUAUGAUUUGGACCUCCGGAACAACAAGCUCACGGGCCUCAUGCCGAGCUCGCUGACUUCGCUCGAAUCACUUCAAAGCAAGACGGCGAUGCCCAUGUUCGCCAAUACAGUAACAGAGGGCAUCGACCGUGAUCCAAGUGCUUUAACUAUCCUAUGCAACUGGCCAACAAUUGGAGAGGGAAUGAUCCAUGAAAUGGUUUCACGGGCAUUACGUGCGAUCCCAGUGGUAAUAUCACCGUUUUCGCGUUGUAGAAAUUUGGUUUCAAUGGUGCGGUCUCGCCCGACUUCCAGUUGCUGCCUGCCUAAGCUGCAGAAGUUGCUAUACUCUGGUAACAAUCUCACCUGCACUAUUCUAUUAAUCUUACCCAUUUGAAGCAGGUUCCUCCAAGUUUUGGUCAGAAAUUUCGGUCCUCCCUCCUUCGCUGCUGCUUGGAAGAAAAUGAGAGGCUUUUGGUCUAUGAGCACGAGGUGUAGAGCAUGUACAGUCAGGGAUAUGAAAUCCUUUAACAUUCCCCGUUUGGAGAAAAUAUGAGAGCUAAGGUUGCUGAUUUUGGAUUAAUUCGACUUGCACCGGAAGGGAACCGCUCUAUUGCACCAGAGUAUGCAGGGUUUCGAGUUCCAUCAGAUUAUAGGACAUACUUGCUGCGAGAAAGAGUACAUCACAAAUUGUAUCCUCUCCUGUGGCUGGGUGGUGUCAAUUUGCUUUCCUACGAGGGAUCAGCUCCAUGAGUAUCACUCCAAAGCUUAAAACAUCAGCUUUGGUAGUCACAUCAAAUAGUGAUCACUAAAUAUUCGUUCAUAGCCAAGUUACAUGCUGUUUAAGCCUCAAAAAUAAACCCGAUCAAAUAAAAGGAACCCACAAACUCAGGGAAAGCCAUAAAACUAGAAAGCUGCUUUUGCUGUAUCUGAUGAAUAUAAUAUUGUCACCAAGCAUCAGAAUUAGAAUGAGCAGGUCCUUUUUAUCAGGACUCUGCACUUC